rnacentral:rRNA from 1 species
CGCAUCUGUGCAUGCAGCAUAUCAAUAAGCGGAGGAAAAGUAUGCUUAUACCUACGCUUAGGAUGUUGAGUCGUAGAGCACGCAUGACACACUGCAUAUCAAUAAGCGGAGGAAAAGAAACUAACAAGGAUUCCCCUAGUAACGGCGAGUGAAGCGGGAAGAGCUCAAAUUUGAAAUCUUAAAGGGUUUCCCUUUACGAAUUGUAGUUUAAAGAAGUGUUUUCUGUUGAGGUUUUGGUAAAAGUUCUUUGGAAUAGGACAUCAUAGAGGGUGAGAAUCCCGUAUUUGACCUUUACUUUCAACUUUGUGAUACACUUUCAAAGAGUCGGAUUGUUUGGGAAUGCAGUCCAAAAUGGGUGGUAAAUUUCAUCUAAAGCUAAAUAUUGGCGAGAGACCGAUAGCGAACAAUGUACCGUGAGGGAAAGAUGAAAAGAACUUUGAAAAGAGAGUUAAACAGUACGUGAAAUUGUCAAAAGGGAAGCGUUUGACACCAGUGUUGUUUUUCUGAAAAUCAAUUAAAGAACUGUUUAUGCUAAGUUGUUUAGACUUUAUCAGCUAACUGUUUAGUUUUGAGCUUUUCUUUAAUGCACUUUUCAGUUAACAAGUCAACAUCAAUUUCUUUUGCUGUAAAAAAGCUGAGGAAGGUGGCUUGAGAUUCGUCUUAAGUGUUUAUAGCCUCUUGCCUAUGCAGUCGGAGAGAUUGAGGUCUGCAGCGUAGAUCCUUCGGGGCUAAAUGCAUUUGUGCUAAGUUAUAGCAUUUUAUAGACAACUUGUUGACUAUGAUUUGUCUUGUAGCUUACUCGCUUAUGUUAUUUUACCUACGCUUAGGAUGUUGAGUCGUAGAGCACGCAG